GACGAACGCUGGCGGCGUGCUUAACACAUGCAAGUCGAACGGAAAGGCCCUGCUUUUGUGGGGUGCUCGAGUGGCGAACGGGUGAGUAACACGUGAGUAACCUGCCCUUGACUUUGGGAUAACUUCAGGAAACUGGGGCUAAUACCGGAUAGGAGCUCCUGCUGCAUGGUGGGGGUUGGAAAGUUUCGGCGGUUGGGGAUGGACUCGCGGCUUAUCAGCUUGUUGGUGGGGUAGUGGCUUACCAAGGCUUUGACGGGUAGCCGGCCUGAGAGGGUGACCGGCCACAUUGGGACUGAGAUACGGCCCAGACUCCUACGGGAGGCAGCAGUGGGGAAUAUUGCACAAUGGGCGGAAGCCUGCUGCAGCAACGCCGCGUGCGGGAUGACGGCCUUCGGGUUGUAAACCGCUUUCGCCUGUGACGAAGCGUGAGUGACGGUAAUGGGGAAAGAAGCACCGGCUAACUACGU
rnacentral:rRNA from 1 species